rnacentral:rRNA from 1 species
GUGGAUUAGAUACCCUGGUAGUCCACGCCCUAAACGAUGUCGACUAGUUGUUCGGGAAGGUGACUUCUUGAGUAACGUAGCUAACGCGUGAAGUCGACCGCCUGGGGAGUACGGCCGCAAGGUUAAAACUCAAAGGAAUUGACGGGGACCCGCACAAGCGGUGGAUGAUGUGGAUUAAUUCGAUGCAACGCGAAAAACCUUACCUACCCUUGACAUGCCUGGAAGUCUGCAGAGAUGCGGAUGUGCCUUCGGGAACCAGGACACAGGUGCUGCACGGUCGUCGCCAACU